CAGAGGUUACUAACAGGUUAAUCCUGAGAAGGACAAUUUGAGUUUUCACUUCAUGUUCAGCGUCGUAUUUGUUCCCUAGUGAAUUUAAAUAAAGAUUCAUUGUGGCAUGUAUACAGUUGUGUUGAAAAUACACUUUCAUACAAAGGCAAAUUCCUAAGGGUACUCUUAAAAUUGUAUAUAGUCUGUUAAAUCUUAUUGUGGUAUUUUGUUUUUCUGAAGUAUAGUUUCCUGUUCUUUUGCUUUUGCAUGUCAACAUUGCUGAAAAUAAAUAUUUUGCUCAGCCAGGUUAGUAGGCCAGAUGGAGUGGUGUUUAUAAUUCAAGGAAAUAACCUAAAUCGUCAUCAGUUAAAAUUGCAUUAAAAAGCAGGAGUACUUUAGAGUUUAUAAUAAAGGUAAAGAGUCAGGAAUGUUCUACAUUCUCUAUGCCAAUGCCGUUAAAAUUGUUCCCUGAUCUAGUAAUUCUACUUUUAAAACUUUAUCCUAAGGAAAAAAAUAUUUUACUCCUGAGUUAGGAAUAGAACAUAUUGUAUCUUCAGACACAGAAUGUUCAUCUUUAUUUGUGUAGGUACUUGAAUUUUUUAAGUUGAAGUAUAACUUACAUACAGUAAAAUGUGCAGAUCUUAUGUGUACAGUUUAAUAUCUGUCUCUCUUUCUCUUCCACAGAUCAAGAUACAGAACAUGUCUGUCACCCCAGAAAGUUCUCUUGUACUCUUUCCCAUCCAGUAACUUCUCAACCCCACGGGUCUAACCACUGUUCUGACUUCUCUCACUAUAAAUUAGUUUUGCCUGUUCUUGUACUUCACAUGAAUGGAAUCAUUCAUGUCUGCUUCUGCACAGUGCCUUCUUCCUGGCAGUGCUUGAGUGGCCCCCAGACUCUGGGAACAUCGGAUACAAAGAUGAAUGAGGACUUGUUACUCUUCACUCAGUGUUGCCUUUUGCCUCAUCUUACCCCUGGGAGAGUUCCUUGAAUAUAGUAUGUAAUUAUGUUAGGGUUACCACAGUAGUCACAUAUUUUCUAAUUGUGCGAAACUUGGAAAACUUCGGUUCUGUUUCAGUAUGUAAUUCUCAGUGUAAUUCUGAAGCGCUGUGUGCAGAACGAUGCAGUCCUGCUCAGAGACUGACCCUCAGGGACCACCAGGUUGAUGGAGGACAGUUGUUGCUGGAGCUCCUUCUGCAUGGAUCUGGAUCAUGUUUGCUUAGGAAAAGGAUGAUGUUGCUCCAGUGUCAGGCUGCCAGUUCUCCCUCCAUUUUCCCUACUGUAAUUCCAACUAAAAUCAAUUUAGGGAGGAGUCAUUUCUACUUUAACAUAAUAAUCUUGCUAGCAGCCUAAUUUUUAAUUAAAACUAUAUUCCCCCUGGAACUAAUUCACUGAUAAGGCCACCUUCUCUCAUCGCCAAGUAAAUGAUUUCAAUAAUUUUCUUCUUUGGUAAUUGUAUUUUGUGAAUGCUGUACAAAUUAUUUACAUGUUAUGACUUACUGGCUUCGUCCAUGAAACAGUUUUGAAUUAAAGAUCGCUUCUCCUUUGUUCUCAUUUCACUUUGGAAUUGAUUUCUCUUGGGACAGAUAUUGGUAUAACUAGUUUUUUAAUUCAAAACUGUUUAACAGACGAAGCAGGUAGACAGAUCUAGUCUACUCUUGGUUGUGGUGAGGGAGGGGAAAAGAGAAGAACCCCUCUCCUGAAAUGCACACCUUAGCUGCUGUUACUUCUUUUUAAAAUGUUUUAAUUGUAAAACAAUAAUCAAAACUUCAAAACAACAGUAACAGCAAAAUGUCACUGCUUUAGGAACAUACAUCGUGGUAUUAAAAUAUCAUAAUUUCUUUUAUUCUUAACUGGAAUCUUAAAUUAUUGAAGGAGGAGGAGAUCUUGGGAUAUGCUAGUAACAGAGUUUCUGAAUGUGAUGUUUACUGGAACGAAUUAUUUUUGAGAUUAUUUGCAGUAUUUGUAUAUAUGCAUCUGAUGGCAGUGGAAGUAUUUAUUCAAUUUCUAAGUACUUGCUAAGUUCUGUGGGAGAUGUAGACUAUUCAUCAACUAGAAUAUAAACUUUAAGAUCUUAUUAAUGGCAUGAGUUGAGUGGGGAGUGACUACUAAUGGGUACGAAAUUUCUUUUUGGGUUGAUGGAAAUGUUCCAAAUAUAGGUCAUGGUGAUGGUUGCACAACUCUGAGACUAUACUAAAACCAUUGAAUUGUAUAGUUUGGGUGAAUUUUGUGGUAUAUGAAUUAUGACUCAAUAAAGAUGUUUUGAAAAAGAUCUUAAUAAAUUUGUGGCACAGAGAA